AGAACGAACGCUGGCGGCAGGCUUAACACAUGCAAGUCGAGCGCGCCCUUCGGGGUGAGCGGCGAACGGGUGAGUAACGCGUGGGAACGUGCCCCUUUCUUCGGAAUAGCCUCGGGAAACUGGGAGUAAUGCCGAAUACGCCCAUUUGGAGUGAUCCAUUUGGGGAAAGAUUUAUCGGAGAGGGAUCGGCCCGCGUUGGAUUAGGUAGUUGGUGGGGUAAUGGCCUACCAAGCCGACGAUCCAUAGCUGGUUUGAGAGGAUGAUCAGCCACACUGGGACUGAGACACGGCCCAGACUCCUACGGGAGGCAGCAGUGGGGAAUAUUGGACAAUGGGCGCCAAGCCUGAUCCAGCCAUGCCGCGUGUGUGAUGAAGGCCUUAAGGGUGUAAAGUCACUUUCACCGGAGAAGAUAAUGACGGUAUCCGGAGAAGAAGCCCCGGCUAACUUCGUGCCAGCAGCCGC
rnacentral:rRNA from 1 species